UACGUAGGGUGCAAGCGUUGUCCGGAAUUAUUGGGCGUAAAGGGCUCGUAGGCGGUUUGUCGCGUCUGCCGUGAAAGUCCGGGGCUCAACUCCGGAUCUGCGGUGGGUACGGGCAGACUAGAGUGAUGUAGGGGAGACUGGAAUUCCUGGUGUAGCGGUGAAAUGCGCAGAUAUCAGGAGGAACACCCGUAGCGAAGGCGGCACUCUGGGCCGAUACUGACACUGAGGAGCGAAAGCGUGGGGAGCGAACAGG
rnacentral:rRNA from 1 species